GACGAACGCUGGCGGCGUGCCUAACACAUGCAAGUCGAACGGGGAAGUUAGCAAUAACUUUCUAGUGGCGAACGGGUGAGUAACGCGUAGACAACCAACCUUUUUGUGGGGGACAACACUUCGAAAGGAGUGCUAAUACCGCAUGAGCUCCAGAUGCCGCCUGGCGUUUGGAGGAAAGGAGCUUCACGGCUUCGCAAAAAGACGGGUCUGCGUCUGAUUAGCUAGUUGGAGGGGUAACGGCCCACCAAGGCGACGAUCAGUAGCCGGUCUGAGAGGAUGGACGGCCACACUGGGACUGAGACACGGCCCAGACUCCUACGGGAGGCAGCAGUGGGGAAUCUUCCGCAAUGGACGAAAGUCUGACGGAGCGACGCCGCGUGAGUGAUGAAGGCCCUUGGGUCGUAAAGCUCUGUCAUCAGGGACGAACGGUCACGUCAGGAAAUGGGCGUGAAUUGACGGUACCUGAGAAGGAAGCCACGGCUAACUACGUGCCAGCAGCCGCGGUAAU
rnacentral:rRNA from 1 species